rnacentral:tRNA from 1 species
GCCCCCGUCGCCCAACGGACAGGGCUCCGGGCUUCGGACCCGGCCGUGCAGGUUCAAAUCCUGCCGGGGGUG